GUGGAAUAUCAGGAUAAAAACACCUACAGCUGUGUGCUGAACAAUCCCAUCAGCAACCAGACCACACAUCUGGACAUCAACACACUCUGCAGACACACAUGUGCAGGUACACCACCACUCAUCAGAUACGUGUGUGUGUUUACUGACCUGAUCUCUUCUGGUGUAGAUCACACUAAUGCGUUCACUUCUUUCUUCAUCAUUACACGGACACACACACUCCUCCUCUUCCUCCAGUGUCUCUGAUAGUGUUGAUCUCGGCUGGAUCUCUGAUGAUUGUUGCUGGAUUUUGGAUCUUCUGGAUCUGCAGGAAACACACAAAAACUGAUUCAAAAGUUCAGAUUCGUGAAGAUGAGAAAACUUGUGUUGUUAUGUCACUUCAUCCAUCGUUCAAUGAAAGAAACACACAAACAUCGAAAGCUGAAGUGAAGAAUGUGUCUGUCAUGAGAAGAGAUAGAAGAGAAGUUUCCCUUUGGGAAUAAUCAGGAAAUCCCAGCGGACAAACAGCGGGAUCAUUGUGACGGGUCCCAAGACUUCAACAGACUUUCAAUUAUUUGUAACACAAGGACUUUUACUUAACAAGACUUUUACGGCCCACAGGAGCAUUUUCAUGUUUGACUCUUAAUUCAGAUAAUGUGCGCAAAAUUCUCAUCAAAAGAAAGCCCUGAAAACCUUAUAUGAUUAUAAAUAUGAAAAUAUUAGGCUUAUUGAUAUUAAAAGGAAUACAUUUAUUCAUGAUCUUAUGCUGUAUACUCAUGCUUUACUAUGCAGUAGUUUCAGUUAUUUCCAGCAAGAGGAGCAGAAGCUGCAUAUAUCACAUCCUAUUUUAAGAUUCCUGUUUUUGCCUGUCAGUGUCAUUUUAAGAAUAAAUUCAAUGUCUGAC